UUUUUCUUCAAAGAAAAAAAAAAACCACACUUACGCCAGCAUGUGAUGCUGAUGAAUAAAAAUUUCAUCGUCCCAGACGUAAACAAUGAAAUAAAUUCAAAUCGAAGCAUCCAAUUAUGCAAAUCACGGCAGAUGCUCGACUUAAACAAGUUUAUGUUUUUGAUAUUAUUUCUAAAUUUUUAAAAACAAACUCAAAAUUAUCCAAAGACCAAAUUAAAAACACGCUACGAAUGCAUGAUAAGCGUAGCUUGCCAGCUAUAAAAAGACGGCGAAAGCAAAGGAGGUCAUCAUUUGAGUUUGGAUAUCACAACCAAAAGCAUCAACCAAUCAACCAACCAAGUUUAAGAAAACGAUCUUCGUUACUUUUUCAAAAUCUUCAACCAGUUAUCUAACAAUUCAAAAAUUUCUGUGACAAUAUUCACUUGAAAUUUAUUGGAAAACAACUUAUGUGUCAAUGAAUAACCGCGCCGACACCAAAGCCAAAUUAAACGCUAAUUUAAGCCUUUCCAAACAUUUGUCAUCGAAAAAAGGUUCCCGUACCUCCAAUUGCGGAAAUAUCCUAGAAUUCUCCGUGCUCACCCUCAUCCAAAGCGUUCCCUGAUUUCUUCACUCCACCCUCAGCCAAGCAAUCUAAAUUUGUCAACAUGGUCCAUAAAAAUCGCUCAUCUCGCAAAACCUGCCCCAUCAUGGAUGUCAGCCCAUUACGCAACACCCUGCCAGUACCGGCUAACAAA